UACGGAGGGUGCAAGCGUUAGUCCGGAUUCACUGGGUUUAAAGGGUGCGUAGGCGGGCAGGUAAGUCAGUGGUGAAAUCCUUGAGCUUAACUCGAGAACUGCCAUUGAUACUAUCUGUCUUGAAUAUUGUGGAGGUAAGCGGAAUAUGGUCAUGUAGCGGUGAAAUGCUUAGAUAUGACAUAGAACACCUAUUGCGAAGGCAGCUUACUACGCAUAUAUUGACGCUGAGGCACGAAAGCG
rnacentral:rRNA from 1 species